CUACGGGCCGCACCAGUGGGGAAUUUUGCGCAAUGGGGGAAACCCUGACGCAGCAAUACCGCGUGAGUGAAGAAGGCCUUUGGGUCGUAAAGCUCUUUUCUUGGGGAAGAUAGUGACGGUACCCAAGGAAUAAGCACCGGCUAACUCCGUGCUAGCAGCCGCGGUAAUACGGAGGGUGCAAGCGUUGUUCGGAUUUACUGGGCGUAAAGGGCACGUAGGCGGCACAGCAAGUUAAGGGUGAAAUCCCGGGGCUCAACUCCGGAACUGCUCUUAAAACUGCUGAGCUAGAGAUAGUCAGAGGCGGGUGGAAUUCCAGGUGUAGAGGUGAAAUUCGUAGAUAUCUGGAGGAACACCGGUGGCGAAGGCGGCCCGCUGGGGCUAUUCUGACGCUAAGGUGCGAAAGCGUGGGGAGCAAACGGGAUUAGAUACCCCAGUAGUC
rnacentral:rRNA from 1 species